rnacentral:rRNA from 1 species
GAUAAAUAUAAUAAAUUAAUAUUUAAUCUAAGAAUACAAGGGUAGAGCUUUGUAAUUCAAUAAUAAGUAAAAUAUAAGUUAAUAAAUAAAUAUUAUGAUAAUUAGGCUUUUUAGUGGCUAUAUUUUUAAAGUGUUUUAACUAAUAUGAAAAGAUAAUUUAUUUUGUUAUAGCUUUAUUUGUUUAAUAAUAUGUUUUUUAGAACAGGUAAUUAUUAGUAAUAAUGAAAAUAUUAGUAGAAUAAAUAAUAUGAAAAUAAAAAGAGGUAUUAAAGAAAUAAAAUUUAAGUUGAUUAGAAAAAAGCAUAGGAACUCGGCAAAUAAAGUUCUUGCCUGUUUAACAAAAACAUGUCUUUAUGAAGUUAUAUGAAGUCUGACCUGCCCGUUGAGAUGUAUUGAAAGGCCGCGGUAUAUUGACUGUGCAAAGGUAGCAUAAUUAGUAGUUUUUUAAUUGAAGGCUUGUAUGAAAGGUUGGACAAGGGAUAAGCUGUCUUUGUUUUUGUUUUUGAAUUUGUCUUUUAAGUGAAAAGACUUAAAUAAAUUUAAGGGACGAUAAGACCCUAUAAAUCUUUAUAUUAAUAUAAUUUUAUUUUAAAUUUUAAUGUUUAAAAAGAUAGAAUUAAAAAAUAUUGUAUUGGGGCGAUAGGAAUACUAAAUAAACUGUUCAAAUAGAUAAACAAAGAUGUUUGAUUAAAAAAAGAUCCUUGAUGGAGAUUAGAAGUUUAAGUUACUUUAGGGAUAACAGCGUUAUUUUUUUUGAGAGUUCUAAUCGAAAAAAAAGUUUGCGACCUCGAUGUUGAAUUAAAAUUUCUUUGUGGUGUAGCAGCUACAUAAGAAAGUCUGUUCGACUUUUAAAAUUUU